rnacentral:rRNA from 1 species
AGAGUUUGAUCCUGGCUCAGGACGAACGCUGGCGGCGUGCUUAACACAUGCAAGUCAAGGGGAACGGAUUUCUUCGGAGAUUCUAGUAUACUGGCGAACGGGUGAGUAACGCGUAGGUAACCUGCCUAUGAGUUUGGGAUAACACUGCUAACGCGGUGCUAAUACCGGAUAACGCAUUAUUUUUGCACUAUAGAUAAUGUUAAAGUGGGCUUUUGGCUCAUGCUUAUAGAUGGACCUGCGUCUCAUUAGCUAGUUGGCGGGGUAACGGCCCACCAAGGCAACGAUGGGUAGCCGACCUGAGAGGGUGAUCGGCCACACUGGGACUGAGAUACGGCCCAGACUCCUACGGGAGCCGGCAGUGAGGAAUAUUGCGCAAUGGAGGAAACUCUGAACGCAGACAACGCCGCGUGCGGGAUGACGCUUUUAGGAGUGUAAAACCGUGUUAGUAGGGACGAAUAAGGUGAAUUUGAAUAAGGUUCACUGAUGACGGUACCUACAGAGAAAGCCCCGGCUAACUCCGUGCCAGCAGCCGCGGUAAUACGGAGGGGGCGAGCGUUGUCCGGAAUUAUUGGGCGUAAAGGGCGCGUAGGCGGGCUGAUAAGUCAGCGGUGAAAGUUUACGGCUUAACCGUAAAAUUGCCUUUGAUACUGUCAGUCUUGAGUUCGGAAGAAGAAAGUGGAAUUCCUGGUGUAGCGGUGAAAUGCGUAGAUAUCAGGAAGAACACCGGUGGCGAAGGCGGCUUUCUGGUCCGAAACUGACGCUGAGGCGCGAAAGUGUGGGUAGCAGAACAGGAUUAGAUACCCUGGUAGUCCACACAGUAAACGAUGGAUACUAGGUGUAUGGAUGGUAACCGUUCAGAGCCGGAGCAAACGCAUUAAGUAUCCCGCCUGGGGAGUACGAUCGCAAGAUUGAAACUCAAAGGAAUUGACGGGGGCCCGCAAACACAACGGUGGAGCAUGUGGUUUAAUUCGAUGCAACGCGAAGAACCUUACCUGGGCUUGAUGCAGUGGCAACCCUGAGAAAUCAGGGCCUCCUUCGGGACUGCUGUAGAGGUGCUGCAUGGCUGUCGUCAGCUCGUGUCGUGAGAUGUUGGGUUAAGUCCCGCAACGAGCGCAACCCUUGUCCUUAGUUGCCAUCAGAUAAUGCUGGGCACUCUAAGGAGACUGCCCCGGAUGACGGGGAGGAAGGUGGGGAUGACGUCAAGUCAUCAUGGCCCUUACGUCCAGGGCUACACACGUGCUACAAUGGCCGGUACAACGGGCAGCGAGACAGUGAUGUUAAGCGUAAUCCCUUAAAACCGGUCUCAGUUCGGAUUGCAGUCUGCAACUCGACUGCAUGAAGUCGGAUAUCGCUAGUAAUCGCGGAUCAGCAUGCCUCGGUGAAUACGUUCCCGGGCCUUGUACACACCUGCCCGUCACGCCAUGAAAGUCGGGAGUACCAGAAGCCGGUGGCCUAACUUCGGAAGGAAGACACGCGUUCGAAGGUAAGAUCGAUAAUUGGGGCGAAGUCGUAACAAGGUAGCC